rnacentral:ncRNA from 1 species
GAUAAUCUUUAGCAAAAUAAGCGAAAGCUUAUGACGCAAAGCUAUAGGGCCUGUAAAAUGGCAGCCAGUUGCACUG